rnacentral:lncRNA from 1 species
CAUAGAUAUCUUAUAUAUACUAGAUAGCGCAUCUCUUUUAGUAAAAUUGAAGCCAAGAAUAUUCCAGCAGUUACCCCCAUUUGAAUAGAUGGCGGCCAUGUUGGUCGUUCCCACUUGCUAAUAAACGCUUAAAAACAACAAUAACUUUCAUUAUUUGAAUGGUUUAAAAACGCAUUUGGAAUAGGGUUAACUUAGUGUUUUUAAACUUAAAAGUUCCCUGUUUAAAAAAUAGAAAACAUACGAAUCUUCUCAUUUCAUGGGAACGACCUGAGACUGCAAUCACGGCUUCA